rnacentral:tRNA from 1 species
GUGAUUGUAGCUCAGCUGGUUAGAGCGCUAGAUUGUGGAUCUAGAGGUCGUGGGUUCGAGCCCCAUCUUUCACCCCA